UUUGGUGCUGAGGUAAAUCUGGGUGUCGUCGGCGUAGCAAUGGAAGUCCAUGGAGAAAUGGCGGAGUAAUUGACCAAGGGGGAGGAGGUAGAUGAUGAAGAGGAGGGGGCCAAGUACAGAACCUUGGGGAACACCUUGUGUGACGGUGGCUGUGGCAGAUGUGUGGUUGUGGAGGGAGAUGAAGUGAGAUCUGUCGGAGAGGUAGGAGUGAACAUGUUCACUCUGGGUUCCUGCGUUCCUGUUGACUAUAAAGAGCCAUCAUCAAUGGAUCUCUGAUAACAUGAUCAAACAUGGACCAAAAGCGUAGAUCCACUUACUUUCCCCCACGGAAUUGGAAAUUCUAAUGAACGCGUAUGCCGAGCAGUUACCCAGAGAGAGCUUGGCCUGAAAUAGCUGAACAAGUCAAUGCAGUUGCCCCAAGUGGACUUGGCAGCAAAUGAAGAUGAAGUACAAAAAUAUAGUUCAAACAGCAAAUCAAAAAAAGCAGAGGCCCGGAAGACUGGAGGGGGUCCACCUCUGCAGCCCUCACAGAGGCUGAGGAGAUGGCCCUCAGACAACAGAGUGUGCGUCCUGUGGCUGAGGGCAUCCCUGGGGGGAGCUCCUCUGAUCCCCCUCCACCCCCCAGGAUAGAAGUGCCUUUAUAAGAGUUACUGAUGGCGUCAUCGCCCUACUUGAACCAGAUGCCCUCACCAACCUCCAUGCAAUUGUAACAAUUCAAAAGAUGCAAAAGGAUGCUUUGGAGAUCCACAUUUUGGAACAUAAGUUAUAGAUGAGUGAGGUGCAAACUGGGAUACUGUUCCCUGCUCUAAAAACAUACCCGAUAUGAAUGACUUUUUUUGUGCUUUCAGGAAAUAAAGAAAUCCUCAUAAAAAGUAGAUUGUCUUUAUUAGAACACGGGCUGUGGUGGGACAAGUUAUUUUGUUGAACAGUUUACUCAAAGGGUUUUACUUCAGUGAACAAUGCAGACGAUUAUGCUGAGCAUGUGCAUGUAGAGAAGAACAGCAUCUGGUUAAAAGCAGUACCAGGGUCAUUUCUGCCUUGCAUUCUUAAAAUUAGUUUCUUGACUUGCAGCAGUUAUAGGUCCGUGGUUAGUCAGCCACUCUGAUCAUGGGAAAGC